rnacentral:snRNA from 14 species
CGAGACAAGGCUGAUCUGGUGGCGGCCUCUGACCCCAGGGAUUGGUCUGGCAGAUCUGGCCAGCUCGGUGGGAUCACUUCCUCACUUGGGGAUGGUUGCCUAGUCCUCAGGAAGUUGUGGGCUGCCUGGAAGGUACAUUUCCCAGAGGGAGGACAGAUCCGUAUGGGUCAAGGGCGUAUGAAGAGCAGUGAUCCCAAGUUGGAACCUCCAAGCAAGCUGGGAAGAGAGCCUGCAGCCAGGUCAGAAAGGGCCUUAUAAGUCGUCACAAAGAAUCUGCUUUUAUCCUAUAAGUAGGAGGACACCAGUAAGAGUCUUUUUUUUUUUU